UGCUGGGGCCUAAGGGACAGUGACUGGCUUUGGGAUCCCAAGUCACUUUCAAAUGAUCCUCUAAGUCUGGGAAUUCAAGAAGGUACCAGGUAGGUGAAAUAUGUAUCUUUCUUGAUUUAGGUGUUCUUAGGUAAUAGCCCUUCAAAAAUCCCUUCUCCUUAUCAAAGCCUGAUAAGAAAGCUUCCUGAUGGUUAAAAAAUCCUCUUUAAAUAGACAAAGGAAAUGGGAGCUGGGAGGAUUUUUUUAUUCAUUUUUAACAAGGUCUGGUUACACCCUCGCCUGGUGUAGAUAAGCACACUGAUUUACUUUUCCGUAACUUAGAGCCAAGAUGGCAGAGCUCUGUGGUAUAUCUGGUGCUUUUACAGCCUGAGUAAUAGUGUUGUCAAUCACGAAUUGUCAAUUGCUCCCCAACCCCAAGAGCAGCACCAAAGGCCACCCAACUAAAGUCAUCUCUGAUCGAUGCAAUCUCACCUCCUCAACUUAAUUCUAAGCACUUUACUCCCUGAUAGUUUUCUUAUUUGUUUAUCUUUGGUCUCCAGAGCAAAAGAAUAGGAACUCCUGAAUAACCUCCACCACAGCUGUGUGCACAGAGCCCAGAACAGUAAAUUGUUCAACACUCAAGGCUCUUGGCUGUUUAACUUCUGUUAGGCAGCAGAGGCCAGGAAACAAGUGGAGAACCAGAAGAGGAAGGAAAGCCCCAGGAGCUUCCUAGCAUACACGUUCAACCUUGGGAAUAUGGACAACUGAGUGUUGUAAUGAGGAGCCACAGAGCCGAUGACUCUCUUAAGGUGAGAAACAUAAAUACAGACAAAUAUAAUAUGAGAACUUGCUCUGAGAACUCUCCUAUCAGUGAUUUUUUUUCUUUC
rnacentral:lncRNA from 1 species